UAUCUUAGCGGCGGACGGGUGAGUAAUGCUUAGGAAUCUGCCUAUUAGUGGGGGACAACAUUCCGAAAGGAAUGCUAAUACCGCAUACGUCCUACGGGAGAAAGCAGGGGAUCUUCGGACCUUGCGCUAAUAGAUGAGCCUAAGUCGGAUUAGCUAGUUGGUGGGGUAAAGGCCUACCAAGGCGACGAUCUGUAGCGGGUCUGAGAGGAUGAUCCGCCACACUGGGACUGAGACACGGCCCAGACUCCUACGGGAGGCAGCAGUGGGGAAUAUUGGACAAUGGGGGGAACCCUGAUCCAGCCAUGCCGCGUGUGUGAAGAAGGCCUUAUGGUUGUAAAGCACUUUAAGCGAGGAGGAGGCUACUGAGACUAAUACUCUUGGAUAGUGGACGUUACUCGCAGAAUAAGCACCGGCUAACUCUGUGCCAGCAGCCGCGGUAAUACAGAGGGUGCGAGCGUUAAUCGGAUUUACUGGGCGUAAAGCGUGCGUAGGCGGCUUUUUAAGUCGGAUGUGAAAUCCCCGAGCUUAACUUGGGAAUUGCAUUCGAUACUGGGAAGCUAGAGUAUGGGAGAGGAUGGUAGAAUUCCAGGUGUAGCGGUGAAAUGCGUAGAGAUCUGGAGGAAUACCGAUGGCGAAGGCAGCCAUCUGGCCUAAUACUGACGCUGAGGUACGAAAGCAUGGGGAGCAAACAGGAUUAGAUACCCUGGUAGUCCAUGCCGUAAACGAUGUCUACUAGCCGUUGGGGCCUUUGAGGCUUUAGUGGCGCAGCUAACGCGAUAAGUAGACCGCCUGGGGAGUACGGUCGCAAGACUAAAACUCAAAUGAAUUGACGGGGGCCCGC
rnacentral:rRNA from 1 species